rnacentral:rRNA from 1 species
CUUAAAGAGCCGCGGUAUUUUGACCGUGCAAAGGUAGCAUAAUCAUUAGUUUUUUAAUUGAAAACUUGUAUGAAUGGUUAGACAAGGGAUCUACUGUCUCUGUUUAAAGAAUUGAACUUAACUUUUAAGUGAAAAGGCUUAAAUUUUUUAAGGGGACGAUAAGACCCUAUAAAGCUUUAUAUGUAAAAAAUUUUUGUUAAAUAAAAUAAAAAUAAAAUUUUUUGUAUUUAUUUUGUUGGGGCGACAUGAAUAAAAUUUUAGUAACUGUUCAAAACUAAAUCAUUUAUAGAUGAUAAAAUUAAUGAUCCUUGGUAGAGAUUAAAGAUUAAGUUACUUUAGGGAUAACAGCGUUAUUUUUUCUGAGAGCUCUUAUCGAAGAAAAAGAUUGCGACCUCGAUGUUGAAUUAAAGAAUCUAAAUAGUGCAGCCGCUAUAAAAGAAGGUCUGUUCGACCUUUAAAUCUUUA